UACGGAGGAUGCAAGCGUUAUCCGGAAUGAUUGGGCGUAAAGCGUCCGCAGGUGGCAAUGUAAGUCUGCUGUCAAAGCGUCUGGCUCAACCAGAUAAAGGCAGUGGAAACUACAUAGCUAGAGUAAGGUAGGGGUAGAGGGAAUUCCUGGUGUAGCGGUGAAAUGCGUAGAGAUCAGGAAGAACACCGGUGGCGAAAGCGAUCUGCUGGACCUUAACUGACGCUGAGGGACGAAAGCUAGGGGAGCGAAUAGG
rnacentral:rRNA from 1 species